rnacentral:rRNA from 1 species
ACGGGAGGCAGCAGUGGGGGAUAUUGCACAAUGGGCGGAAGCCUGAUGCAGCGAUGCCGCGUGAGGGAGGAAGGUUUUCGGAUUGUAAACCUUUGUCCUCAGGGACGAUAAUGACGGUACCUGAGGAGGAAGCUCCGGCUAACUACGUGCCAGCAGCCGCGGUAAUACGUAGGGAGCGAGCGUUGUCCGGAAUUACUGGGUGUAAAGGGUGCGUAGGCGGGACGGCAAGUCAGAUGUGAAAUGUAUGGGCUCAACCCAUAACCUGCAUUUGAAACUGUUGUUCUUGAGUGAGGUAGAGGUAAGCGGAAUUCCUAGUGUAGCGGUGAAAUGCGUAGAUAUUAGGAGGAACAUCGGUGGCGAAGGCGGCUUACUGGGCCUUUACUGACGCUGAGGCACGAAAGCGUGGGGAGCAAACAGGAUUAGAUACCCUGGUA